CCAGGAUGGAGGAGAACAACCAACACC
rnacentral:piRNA from 1 species